UCAAGAAAGACAAGUAAUUCGAGAUAAACUGAAUGAAAAAAUUAUAAACUUAUACAAUAGAAAAAAUGAGAAAAUCAUACCUAGAAGUUACCCAACUUUUGAACCAAAUUCAACAGUAUUUGAAAAAACAUUCGAUAGAAUAAAAAGAGAAAGUAGAUACAAACCAAUUAUUGUAAAAGAAAAUCAUGAUUCAUACAUAAUUGAUAAUAGAGAUAGAAAAAUUCAUAAAGUAAAUUUACGGAAAAAAUAAUGAUUCAUAUCUUCUUUUCUUUUUAUUUACAGAAUAUUAGGUGUAUUAAGCACAAUUAUAUUACAAAUAUAUUCUAUCCUUCAAAUACACGAUCUUUCAAAUAAUCCACUAGCAAUAAUCCCUUUAGGACAGGCAAAGAUUAAAACAGGUUAUUUCAGAAUAUUACACCCAAUUGAUUUGAUACAAAUAGAAAACACAAUAAACAAUGUAAAUCGAGAAAUUCAAAACAAGAUGAUUAAAAAUCCUUUAAAUGAUUUGAUUCUGAUAAAAAAUUAUAAAUUAUACGAAACAUUCAUGAAAUUGAAGCCGUUUAGUUCAAGCAGACCAAAACGAUGGGAUAGCAUCGGCAAAACUUGGAAAUGGAUAGCAGGUACCCCAGACGCAGAUGACUUGAAGAUGAUCAACACCAGCAUCAACUCCUUGGUACUCCAGAAUAAUCAACAAGUAUUAAUCAACGAAGAAAUUGGAAAACGAAUUCAGGAUAUAACAGCAAUCACCAACCAAGUUCUGAAAGCUGAAAAAGAGAGAACGAAGAACCGAUCUUUGGAAUUUAAUCAACUCAUAAUGUUAUCAAACCUUGAUUCACUACAAGAUCAAGUCGAGACAUUGGAAGAAGCGGUUUUAAUGGCAAAACAUGGAAUUCCCUGUAGUAAGUUAUUAACGAUACACAAUUUUAAUAACAUUGCUACUUAUCUAGCCAAAUAUGAUAUGUUUAUAUCAUCAUUUGAAGAAUUAUUAUCAAAAGCCAAAGCACAAGUUAUGAUGAACACAACACAUAUUCAUUAUAUCUUAAAAAUUCCGCAAUUAUCAAUCAAUACUUAUGAACACAUCUAUGUUGAUUCGAUAAUUAAGAAUGACAAAAGAAUUUCCAUAAAGCAAAAUUAUUACUUACGAAAUUUAUCUCAUAUUUAUGAAUUGAAACAUUCUUGUUCAAAUGAAGCAGAAUAUUUCUUAUGUGAGAAUCAAGACAUUGAUAUUCCACCACAUUGCAUAAAGGAAUUGAUAUUUGGACAACAUACAAAUUGCACCUUUGAACGAGUCUAUUCAAAAGGAUUAAUAAAAAGAAUAACGGAUGCAACAAUUUUGAUUAAUGAUGCAGUUAUCGAAAUAACAUCAAAUUGUAGCAAUAACAAUCAUAUUCUUAAUGGAUCAUUUUUAAUCCAAUUUGAACAGUGCAAUUUAAGAAUAAAUGGAGAAUUAUAUUCGAACUAUGAGAUGACAUUACCAAAUAAUCCUUAUCAUCCAACAACAGGAUUAUUAGUGAACGAGAUAGGAAUAAUUGACUCACCAACCCCGGAGUACUUGACGAAUUUAACAUUAUCCCACCGUGCAAAAAUGGAUUUCAUCGAACUACAGAACCAGUCAUUGGAAUGGAAAUUCAACCUAUUUGGAUCAUUCACCGGAACAUUGGUAACGAUAACUAUAAUUUAUUUUGCCAUUCGUUUAGUUCUUUCUAGAAGGAAUUCGCUUCAAAUAAACAUCAAGCCUGAGAAGAUAGACGAAACAGCAUUGACAGAAAUAUCAACAGAGCCUGAGUCUUCAACAAAACAGUUGUCGGAGGAAAAACAAAACGAGAUUGAAAAAUUCCUGAAUGUAUCAACACCUUAUCGAAACAUUUGAGCUUCUGGAAGAAGUCACUUAAGAAGGGAGGAGUUACGUCAACACCAUCCAGACGGUCAACGAUAGUAAAACAAAAACAGAUGUGGCCUCGACUGAUUGAUUGGAAUGCGGCGUGGCGAGCUUCAUUAGAAUUAAAUUAUUUUAAACACAAGUGUUUCGGCUAAUUGAAUUGAUAGGAAAGAACCAUAUGUUCUUUAUGUCUAGAAAGACCAUAUGUUCUUUGUAUUAGAAUUGUAUAAAAAGGGAUUAGCAAUUGGUAGUAACUUUAGAAUCAGUUCAGGUACAGUCAGAGUUAGUUCAGACUUAGGAGUGGUUCUCAUAAUUGUAUGUUGGGUUAUUAAGAAUAAAAUAUAUUUUUUUAUUCAAACCUAGCGUGCAAUUAUUAAUUGUACUGUUAUAGGUAUCAGCAACCACCGCAGGAGGCGAGAGCCGUGUGUACUGCGUGCUGAUUUCAGUGUCGGCGACAACUGCAGGAGGCGAAAGCUGCGUGGACUGCGUCCAGAAGCAGGUGGCCAGAACGACUGCAGGAAGCAAAAGGCGCGUGUGCCGCGCUCGACAACAAUCGUUUCAAUCAGGAAAGCAUCGGUCGGUACGACAGAGUCUUGCUACUGGUUCGGCAGCCUGAGCUGCAUCACUACAGCCGCAACAGUAUUAGAGGCAGCAAUCGCAUCGGCGGGAAGAAUCAAUUGCCAUAUACUUCCGUUUGUUCCAGUGACUGGAUUCUCAGAUGUCUGGAGGCGCUGGUCAGCGCCUCAAGUCAAUCCGCCACGCCAAAGGGCUAGCAGCCACGGUGGAAUUCAACGAGCGGCAGACAGCAGGAGAAUGCAUUCAAAUGCAAGCCCCUAACGAAAAUCGUGGCCAAUCACGCGAAGAACACGGAAAGUAGCUCGGAGUUAAUCAAUCAUCCGGUGAAACCACCCAGCCAGCAACAGAUAUUUGACGACCCGGGAAAUCAACCUUUAUGGAACUGCACCCGAGUGGAUCCCAGUGGACAAGAUUAGAGCCGAGCGGCAUUUUCCAGAUCCGGAGAUAUUUACACAAUCUACCACUCCACUGAUUGGGCGGAUCCAAAACUUCGUUCAGUUUCACCUCAAAGGCUUUUCCUGCAAUCAAUGAAUGCAUCGUGUCCCGAAUAGACCAAGACCAUGGUUCUACAUUGUAAUAACAAUGGUUUUCGUGUUAACAAUGAAAAACAAUGUAAAAUCUCAAUCCCUUUAAAAAGUAAAAUUUGGGUUUUAUUGUGAAAUUACCAUAAAUAUGGCGAUAACCAUGAAAAAUAUGGUUAAUACAUAAUAUUUCACUGUAUGUAUUACCUAGACAGCUGGGACUUCAAGAUGAGCGUGUACGGUUUGUUGCAUAGAGGAAAAUUUCCAUUCCAAUGGGCGCCAUAUUUAAUAUUUUCUAUGGUCGGAACCGGGUUAUUCCGGACAAUUUCAGCUGGAAAUAGCUGAAAGAUUGGAAUCGGAAGGAGACGGCACGGAUUCUGGUGGUAGCGCGGGCAGAUGGAGAGAGCAGAGUAUCACAGAGCUAAGUGCUUAAGACGUGGGCGCAUGCAUGGCACAACCCGUGCUUAUUAUUCGCACAUCCGGAGCCUGGGGUUAGAAUGGGUUCCAGAGCCGUUUCCCGAGAAUAAUUCCGCGAAAGGUAGUGAGCCGGUGCGCAGUGCAGAUCAUGAAAAUCAAUCAAAUAAGUGCCAAUUUUGUGUAUCCCAGUGUAUUAAUUUUUUCUUCUUCUAAAAACCCGGAUUAUCAACCGGGAUAUGUGAAACAGUGUUAAAAAUAAAUUAUAAAUGUAAAUAAA